UGGCGUAGUGGAAAGCGGCCAGGAGGUGAUCAGCAAUAAAUGAACGGGAGCUGCCCCAGAUGUUGGGUUCCUUCCUGCUGUGAUCGCCACGAGGAGAGAUGCUCUGAGAGGGGCAGCACGAGGAAUUGGUUGCCCUCAGAAGAAAGACAUUUAAAAAGUGCAGACAGAAACCUCUAAUCCUUUCAUAUGUCUGAGGAAGAUGCGAGAUCUGACCAAUCUUCAUGAAUGUUAAUUUUCAUAUAAAAGUUAUUCCUCUGAGCAGGAAAUGGAGCUUCUAGAGAAUCUUUUCAUAACUAGAAAGUCAUUAACCUGUAUAUUAGUGAAAUAUCAAAAUAUGUACAUAGCAAUUAAAGUUUUAAUUUAGAAUUGUCUUAGUUUUUCCAGCUGUAGAAAUCUACCUGUCAACCUAGUUAUCUUUCCA